UUUUUUUUUUUUUUUUUUUUUUUGAGACAGAGUCUCGCUCAGUCGCCCAGGCUGGAGUGCAGUGGCCUGAUCUCAACUCACUGCAAGCUCCGCCUCCCGGGUUUACGCCAUUCUCCUGCCUCAGCCUCCCGAGUAGCUGGGACUACCGGCGUCCGCUACCUCGCCCGGCUAGUUUUUUGUAUUUUUUAGUAGAGAUGGGGUUUCACCGUGUUAGCCAGGAUGGUCUCGAUCUCCUGACCUCGUGAUCCGCCCGUCUCGGCCUCCCAAAGUGCUGGGAUUACAGGCUUGAGCCACCGCGCCCGGCCCUAAGGGCAGAAUUUAAGACCAAUGGGUAGAAGCUGUAAAACACUUCCAAAUUGAGCUGUACAGAUACAGAAUGCCCUGCCUUGUGAAGUAGUGAGUUUGCUGUCCCAGGAGUAUUCAAACACAGACCGGACAACCUGGGAUGCUGUAGAGAAGCUUCAAGGAUCAGAGGGCUAGCUAGAGUAGAUAUAGGUUCCUUUUAACUUAGAGAGCCUAGGACCUCACCAAAGCCAGAUGAAAGGCUUUAAUUCAUUUCAUUUUGAUCUAACAUUAUGUUUCUCCUGCACUCCCUGGCCCAGGAAUAAUCUGCCACAGAAGAUGUGGAGACCAUGCUAUGAAUGCCACAAGAAGGCCCUUCCCCCUCCUUUAUCCUGUGCUUUGACCACACACAGAAGGGUGGUCCCAUAUGACCUUAUGCCUGGAGGAUUCCUGGGCUCCACAGCAGUUAGAAGCAAGAGUUGAACGGGCAUCCCAUGAAGAAGUUCCCAUCCUCUUUUACUGAGGAACUGUCACCGUUUUGUGAGGAAGCAUCAUGUUUCACUUCCCCAGCACCCUCAGCUCUCAGCAGGAGAAAUCAGCCGACCAGCAGAACUAGGGUGCUGAUGUCACCUGCCAUUCCAUGUUCAGAGGGAGUGAUCUCAGACAAAGGGUGCCAGUGGAGCCCACCAGACUACAGACCUUUACAAUCUAACGGAUAGUGCCCAUGCAAUGUUUCAAGAUCCCCAAUCUAUAAUCACGACACUCAUCUGCCUGAGUUACAGAAAAACAGAAAGCCCAUUCCUUGAGAAAUGCAAAGUCAAAAACACAUUAAAAGCCAUCACACUCCCUUCUUUACACUCAAGGUCGCUGUUCCUAAAUCAGAAUGCUCAGAACCAACCAAGAGAUCAUGAAGACCAAGAUAGAACAACUCCUGGGGAAUAGGGACAUGUAGCUCCCUGACUGGCUGAGGAAGGAUUUGAAAAUGCAGCCACUAACAGAAUUUGCACACUGCAGGACUCCUAGUCAAGCUGCUAAUAAAGAAAUCGCUUAUGCUAGGGGACUAAAAAUGUUCUGUAUUGUUAAACUGGUAUCAUGCCCAUGCUGAGGUUGGAAUUAUGAUGUAUAAGUGGCCUGCUAUUCUGAAUGGACUUUUUCCAAUAAAGAAAAAUGUACUUAAGGGUAAGCAAAAAAGGAUAUAAAGUGACCCCACUGGAAGGAAUAACUAGGUCAUCGCUCUCAGCUGCCUGUUCUCUGUCCUUGUGUGCAAAGCUACAGGGGUGACACCCACCUCCCAGGUGACAGCCGGCCCUCCCAGGUCGAUCCAGUGAUAAGAGUUGCCUGUACUCCUGAAUAGGAACGAAAUGGCCCCUGAUCAACCCUCUGACUGUGUUCUUAGAGUAGAAUAUCCUUUAAUAAGUCUCUGGUAUUUAUUUGUCAGUAACACUGAAAUAGCUCUCUUGUGUUCCAUCACUCUAAUCAUCUUGCAAACCAGACUCCUACGGCCACUGGCCAGAGCUGAAACCAGCUCUCCCUGCCCCAAGCUUGGGCAGAAC
ensembl:lncRNA